CCUACGGUAGUCAGCAGUGGGGAAUAUUGCGCAAUGGGCGAAAGCCUGACGCAGCGACGCCUCGUGAGGGAUGAAGGUCUUCGGAUCGUAAACCUCUGUCAGCAGGGAAGAACGGUAACUGUGCUAAUCAGCAGUGAAUUGACGGUACCUGCAAAGGAAGCACCGGCUAACUCCGGGCCAGCAGCCGGGGUAAUACGGAGGGUGCGUGCGUUAAUCGGAAUUACUGGGCGUAAAGCGCUCGUAGGCGGUAUGUCAAGUCAAGGGUGAAAUCCCCGCGCUCAACGUGGGAACUGCCUUUGAAACUGGCAAACUGGAGUGUGUGAGAGGAUAGUGGAAUUCCAGGUGUAGGAGUGAAAUCCGUAGAUAUCUGGAGGAACAUCAGUGGCGAAGGCGACUAUCUGGCACAUAACUGACGCUGAGGAGCGAAAGCGUGGGUAUCGAACAGGAUUAGAUACCCGAGUAGUC
rnacentral:rRNA from 1 species